UCGAGCGAGAAGACGUAGCAAUACGUUUGUAAAGCGGCGAACGGGUGAGGAAUACAUGGGUAACCUACCCUUGAGUGGGGAAUAACUAGCCGAAAGGUUAGCUAAUACCGCGUACGCUCCUUGGACUUCGGUUCAGGGAGGAAAGCGCUGCCGAGGGCAGCGCGCUCUUGGAUGGGCUCAUGUCCUAUCAGCUUGUUGGUGAGGUAACGGCUCACCAAGGCUUCGACGGGUAGCUGGUCUGAGAGGACGAUCAGCCACACUGGCACUGCGACACGGGCCAGACUCCUACGGGAGGCAGCAGUAAGGAAUAUUGCGCAAUGGGCGAAAGCCUGACGCAGCGACGCCGCGUGGGGGAUGAAGGUCUUCGGAUUGUAAACCCCUUUCGGGAGGGAAGAUGGAAUGGGGUAACCCAUUCGGACGGUACCUCCAGAAGCAGCCACGGCUAACUUCGUGCCAGCAGCCGCGGUAAUACGAAGGUGGCAAGCGUUAUUCGGAUUUACUGGGCGUACAGGGAGCGUAGGCGGUUCGGUAAGCCCUCUGUGAAAUCUUCAGGCUUAACCUGGAAAAGUCGGAGGGGACUGCUGGGCUAGAGGACGGGAGAGGAGCGCGGAAUUCCCGGUGUAGCGGUGAAAUGCGUAGAGAUCGGGAGGAAGGCCGGUGGCGAAGGCGGCGCUCUGGAACGUUUCUGACGCUGAGGCUC
rnacentral:rRNA from 1 species